rnacentral:rRNA from 1 species
GGCUGCAACUCGCCUACAUGAAGUCGGAAUUGCUAGUAAUCGCGGAUCAGCAUGCCGCGGUGAAUACGUUCCCGGGCCUUGUACACACCGCCCGUCACACCAUGGGAGUCGGUAACACCCGAAGCCUGUAGUCUAACCGCAAGGGGGACGCAGUCGAAGGUGGGAUUGAUGACUGGGGUGAAGUCGUAACAAGGUAAC